rnacentral:tRNA from 1 species
GCUGAGGUGGCUCAGUGGGUAGAGUACAGGAUCUUCAUGCCUGAGGCCCCAAGUUUGACUCUUGGCACUGCA